rnacentral:tRNA from 1 species
AGUAGAGUGGCUGAGAUCAAUAAGGUGAUAGAUUGUAAAUCUAUUAAGGGGAUAAAUACCCCUCUACUA